AAGACUUCUUCACCCAGACUGCCAGCAGGAGAGGACCACCAGGCCACAUGGAGCACAUUCAAAUGAGCAUAAAGGUGCUCUGGAGGAGAGAGGAGCUGCCUUUAACAAGAAUAUACACAUUUUUCCAGGCAAUCUUUCUCCAUGGCUGCUGAUCAUUCCCAACAAGAGCCCCUAAGGAAGAAGCCCAGUGACGGGAGCAACCAGCAACAGUCACAGCACAACCUCCUGCAAGACUAGAAUGG